UACGUAGGGUGCAAGCGUUGUCCGGAAUUAUUGGGCGUAAAGAGCUCGUAGGCGGUCUGUCGCGUCUGCUGUGAAAACCUGGGGCUUAACCCCGGGCCUGCAGUGGGUACGGGCAGACUAGAGUGUGGUAGGGGAGACUGGAAUUCCUGGUGUAGCGGUGAAAUGCGUAGAGAUCGGGAGGAACACCUGUGGCGAAGGCGGCCGACUGGGCCGACCCUGACGCUGAGGCGCGAAGGCGUGGGGAGCGAACGGG
rnacentral:rRNA from 1 species